UGGGGAAUUUUGGACAAUGGGCGCAAGCCUGAUCCAGCAAUGCCGUGUGCAGGAUGAAGGCCUUCGGGUUGUAAACCGCUUUUGUCGGGGAAGAAGAGCCUUGGGUUAAUACCCUGGGGUGAUGACGGUACCCGAAGAAUAAGCACCGGCUAACUACGUGCCAGCAGCCGCGGUAAUACGUAGGGUGCAAGCGUUAAUCGGAAUUACUGGGCGUAAAGCGUGCGCAGGCGGUUAUGCAAGACAGAUGUGAAAUCCCCGGGCUUAACCUGGGAACUGCAUUUGUGACUGCAUAGCUAGAGUACGGUAGAGGGGGAUGGAAUUCCGCGUGUAGCAGUGAAAUGCGUAGAUAUGCGGAGGAACACCGAUGGCGAAGGCAAUCCCCUGGACCUGUACUGACGCUCAUGCACGAAAGCGUGGGGAGCAAACA
rnacentral:rRNA from 1 species